GACGAACGCUGGUGGCGUGCUUAACACAUGCAAGUCGAACGGAAAGGCCCUGCUUUUGUGGGGUGCUCGAGUGGCGAACGGGUGAGUAACACGUGAGUAACCUGCCCUUGACUUUGGGAUAACUUCAGGAAACUGGGGCUAAUACCGGAUAGGAGCUCCUGCUGCAUGGUGGGGGUUGGAAAGUUUCGGCGGUUGGGGAUGGACUCGCGGCCUAUCAGCUUGUUGGUGGGGUAGUGGCUUACCAAGGCUUUGACGGGUAGCCGGCCUGAGAGGGUGACCGGCCACAUUGGGACUGAGAUACGGCCCAGACUCCUACGGGAGGCAGCAGUGGGGAAUAUUGCACAAUGGGCGGAAGCCUGAUGCAGCAACGCCGCGUGCGGGAUGACGGCCUUCGGGUUGUAAACCGCUUUCGCCUGUGACGAAGCGUGAGUGACGGUAAUGGGUAAAGAAGCACCGGCUAACUACGUG
rnacentral:rRNA from 1 species